UACGUAGGGUGCAAGCGUUGCCCGGAUUUAUUGGGCGUAAAGGGCGCGUAGGCGGCUCGGCACGUCCGUUGUGAAAUCGCCCGGCUCAACUGGGCGGGGUCAGCGGAUACGGUCGAGCUUGAGCAAGCUAGGGGGCAAUGGAAUUCCCGGUGUAGUGGUGGAAUGCGUAGAUAUCGGGAGGAACACCAGUGGCGAAGGCGGUUCUCUGGGCCUUACCUGACGCUGAGGAGCGAAAGCGUGGGGAGCAAACAGG
rnacentral:rRNA from 1 species